rnacentral:hammerhead_ribozyme from 1 species
AUCCAGUUGACGAGUCACAAAUAGGACGAAAUGUACAUCUUGGAU